UUCAAUUUUCUACUAACCCUGUGACUUCAGCGGCGCUAGUUAGGCAAAAACAGAAAAAAAAAAGUUUUAAAGUUCAGCUUGCAAGUUGAGUUAUGUAACUUCUCCCGAGGGAAAAUAACCCGCGAUUGAGCGAUGACAAGUGGCACAAAAAAGUAUCAGAAAAA
ensembl:ncRNA T07H8.10 ncRNA